rnacentral:rRNA from 1 species
AUUGAACGCUGGCGGCAGGCCUAACACAUGCAAGUCGAACGAGUGGCGGACGGGUGAGUAAUGUCUGGGACACUGCCUGAUGGAGGGGGAUAACUACUGGAAACGGUAGCUAAUCCCGCAUACCAUCGGAUGUGCCCAGAUGGGAUUAGCUAGUAGGGGGGGUAAAGGCUCACCUAGGCGACGCUCCCUAGCUGGUCUGCGAGGAUGACCAGCCACGCUGGAACUGAGCCACGGUCCAGACUCCUACGGGAGGCAGCAGGGGGGAAUAUUGCACAAUGGGCGCAAGCCUGAUGCAGCCAUGCCGCGUGUAUGAAGAAGGCCUUCGGGUUGUAAAGUACUUUCAGCGGGGAGGCGUUACCCGCAGAAGAAGCACCGGCUAACUCCGUGCCAGCAGCCGCGGUAUAC